AUACGUAGGUGGCAAGCGUUGUCAGGAAUUAUUGGGCGUAAAGCGCAUGUAGGCGGUUUGGUAAGUCGGACGUGAGAAUGCGGGGGUUAACGCCGUAGGGCGAUUGGAACUGGUGAAAUUGAGUGCCGGAGAGGGAAGGGGCAAUCCCAGUGCAGCGGUGAAAUGCGUAGAUAUUGGGAAAAACACCGGUGGCGAAGGCGCCUUUCUGGACUGUGUCUGACGCUCAGAUGCGAAAGCCAGGGUAGCGAACGGGAUUAGAUACCCCGGUAGUCCUGGCCGUAAACGAUGGGUACUAGGUGUGGGAGGUAUCGACUCCUUCCGUGCCGGAGUUAACGCAAUAAGUACCCCGCCUGGGGAGUACGGCCGCAAGGCUUAAACUCAAAUGAAUUGACGGGG
rnacentral:rRNA from 1 species